UUAAGCGACUAAGCGUACACGGUGGAUGCCCUGGCAGUCAGAGGCGAUGAAGGACGUGCUAAUCUGCGAAAAGCGUCGGUAAGGUGAUAUGAACCGUUAUAACCGGCGAUGUCCGAAUGGGGAAACCCAGUGCAAUUCGUUGCACUAUCGUUAACUGAAUACAUAGGUUAACGAGGCGAACCGGGGGAACUGAAACAUCUAAGUACCCCGAGGAAAAGAAAUCAACCGAGAUUCCCCCAGUAGCGGCGAGCGAACGGGGAGCAGCCCAGAGUCUGAAUCAGCUUGUGUGUUAGUGGAACGGUCUGGAAAGUCCGACGGUACAGGGUGAUAGUCCCGUACACCAAAAUGCACAGGCUGUGAACUCGAAGAGUAGGGCGGGACACGUGGUAUCCUGUCUGAAUAUGGGGGGACCAUCCUCCAAGGCUAAAUACUCCUGACUGACCGAUAGUGAACCAGUACCGUGAGGGAAAGGCGAAAAGAACCCCGGCGAGGGGAGUGAAAAAGAACCUGAAACCGUGUACGUACAAGCAGUGGGAGCACCUUCGGGUGUGACUGCGUACCUUUUGUAUAAUGGGUCAGCGACUUAUAUUCUGUAGCAAGGUUAACCGUAUAGGGGAGCCGCAGGGAAACCGAGUCUUAACUGGGCGUUAAGUUGCAGGGUAUAGACCCGAAACCCGGUGAUCUAGCCAUGGGCAGGUUGAAGGUUGGGUAACACUAACUGGAGGACCGAACCGACUAAUGUUGAAAAAUUAGCGGAUGACUUGUGGCUGGGGGUGAAAGGCCAAUCAAACCGGGAGAUAGCUGGUUCUCCCCGAAAGCUAUUUAGGUAGCGCCUCGUGAAUUCAUCUUCGGGGGUAGAGCACUGUUUCGGCUAGGGGGUCAUCCCGACUUACCAACCCGAUGCAAACUACGAAUACCGAAGAAUGUUAUCACGGGAGACACACGGCGGGUGCUAACGUCCGUCGUGAAGAGGGAAACAACCCAGACCGCCAGCUAAGGUCCCAAAGUCAUGGUUAAGUGGGAAACGAUGUGGGAAGGCACAGACAGCCAGGAUGUUGGCUUAGAAGCAGCCAUCAUUUAAAGAAAGCGUAAUAGCUCACUGGUCGAGUCGGCCUGCGCGGAAGAUGUAACGGGGCUAAACCAUGCACCGAAGCUGCGGCAGCGACACUAUGUGUUGUUGGGUAGGGGAGCGUUCUGUAAGCCUGCGAAGGUGACCUGUGAGGGUUGCUGGAGGUAUCAGAAGUGCGAAUGCUGACAUAAGUAACGAUAAAGCGGGUGAAAAGCCCGCUCGCCGGAAGACCAAGGGUUCCUGUCCAACGUUAAUCGGGGCAGGGUGAGUCGACCCCUAAGGCGAGGCCGAAAGGCGUAGUCGAUGGGAAACAGGUUAAUAUUCCUGUACUUGGUGUUACUGCGAAGGGGGGACGGAGAAGGCUAUGUUAGCCGGGCGACGGUUGUCCCGGUUUAAGCAUGUAGGCUGGUUAUCCAGGCAAAUCCGGAUAAUCAAGGCUGAGGUGUGAUGACGAGGCACUACGGUGAUGAAGUAACAAAUGCCCUGCUUCCAGGAAAAGCCUCUAAGCAUCAGGUAACAUCAAAUCGUACCCCAAACCGACACAGGUGGUCAGGUAGAGAAUACCAAGGCGCUUGAGAGAACUCGGGUGAAGGAACUAGGCAAAAUGGUGCCGUAACUUCGGGAGAAGGCACGCUGGUGUGUAGGUGAAGCCCCUGCGGGUGGAGCUGAGACCAGUCGAAGAUACCAGCUGGCUGCAACUGUUUAUUAAAAACACAGCACUGUGCAAACACGAAAGUGGACGUAUACGGUGUGACGCCUGCCCGGUGCCGGAAGGUUAAUUGAUGGGGUUAUCCGUAAGGAGAAGCUCUUGAUCGAAGCCCCGGUAAACGGCGGCCGUAACUAUAACGGUCCUAAGGUAGCGAAAUUCCUUGUCGGGUAAGUUCCGACCUGCACGAAUGGCGUAAUGAUGGCCAGGCUGUCUCCACCCGAGACUCAGUGAAAUUGAACUCGCUGUGAAGAUGCAGUGUACCCGCGGCAAGACGGAAAGACCCCGUGAACCUUUACUAUAGCUUGACACUGAACAUUGAGCCUUGAUGUGUAGGAUAGGUGGGAGGCUUUGAAGCGUGGACGCCAGUCUGCGUGGAGCCAACCUUGAAAUACCACCCUUUAAUGUUUGAUGUUCUAACGUUGGCCCCUGACCGGGGUUGCGGACAGUGUCUGGUGGGUAGUUUGACUGGGGCGGUCUCCUCCCAAAGCGUAACGGAGGAGCACGAAGGUUAGCUAAUCCUGGUCGGACAUCAGGAGGUUAGUGCAAUGGCAUAAGCUAGCUUGACUGCGAGCGUGACGGCGCGAGCAGGUGCGAAAGCAGGUCAUAGUGAUCCGGUGGUUCUGAAUGGAAGGGCCAUCGCUCAACGGAUAAAAGGUACUCCGGGGAUAACAGGCUGAUACCGCCCAAGAGUUCAUAUCGACGGCGGUGUUUGGCACCUCGAUGUCGGCUCAUCACAUCCUGGGGCUGAAGUAGGUCCCAAGGGUAUGGCUGUUCGCCAUUUAAAGUGGUACGCGAGCUGGGUUUAGAACGUCGUGAGACAGUUCGGUCCCUAUCUGCCGUGGGCGCUGGAGAAUUGAGGGGGGCUGCUCCUAGUACGAGAGGACCGGAGUGGACGCAUCACUGGUGUUCGGGUUGUCAUGCCAAUGGCACUGCCCGGUAGCUAAAUGCGGAAGAGAUAAGUGCUGAAAGCAUCUAAGCACGAAACUUGCCCCGAGAUGAGUUCUCCCUGAGACUUUAAGUCUCCUGAAGGAACGUUGAAGACGACGACGUUGAUAGGCCGGGUGUGUAAGCGCAGCGAUGCGUUGAGCUAACCGGUACUAAUGAACCGUGAGGCUUAACCUU
rnacentral:rRNA from 1 species